UACGUAGGGUCCGAGCGUUGUCCGGAAUUACUGGGCGUAAAGAGCUCGUAGGUGGUUUGUCACGUUGUUCGUGAAAACCCACAGCUCAACUGUGGGCGUGCGAGCGAUACGGGCAGACUAGAGUACUGCAGGGGAGACUGGAAUUCCUGGUGUAGCGGUGGAAUGCGCAGAUAUCAGGAGGAACACCGGUGGCGAAGGCGGGGUCUCUGGGCAGUAACUGACGCUGGAGGAGCGAAAGCGUGGGGAGCGAACAGG
rnacentral:rRNA from 1 species